rnacentral:rRNA from 1 species
UACGUAGGGUGCAGGCGUUAAUCGGAAUUACUGGGCGUAAAGCGUGCGCAGGCGGUUUGCUAAGACAGGUGUGAAAUCCCCGGGCUUAACCUGGGAACUGCGCUUGUAACUAGCAGGCUAGAGUGUGGCAGAGGGGGGUGGAAUUCCAGGUGUAGCAGUGGAAUGCGUAGAUAUCUGGAGGAACACCGAUGGCGAAGGCAGCCCCCUGGGCUAACACUGACGCUCAUGCACGAAAGCGUGGGGAGCAAACAGG